CCGCCGUAUACCCAAGGUUUCCUGGGCCAGGUUCGUCCUCCCAGGGUUAGUCGGGACCUAAGGCGAGGCCGUAAGGCGUAGUCGAUGGACAGCAGUUCAAUAUUCCUGCACCGGCUUGAGGUUAGUUGACAGUGACGCGGUGAGAAAAGUGGCUAAGUCAUCGAAAGACAGAGCUUAGACUUCGGUCGAAGCGUACCACUGGACGAUCCGCCGAGAAAAGCUAGUUAACAUGUGCCUCUUGUCGCCCGUACCGUAAACCGACACAGGUGGGUGAGUCGAGUAGACUAAGGCGCGCGAGAGAAACCACUCUAAGGAACUCGGCAAAAUAGCCCCGUAACUUCGGGAGAAGGGGUGCCUACUUCGGUAGGCCACAGUAAAUUGGGUCUGGCGACUGUUUAACAAAAACACAGCACUCUGCUAAGUCGUGAAGACGACGUAUAGGGUGUGACACGUGACCAAUGCCGAAAGAUUAAGGUGACUUGUUAGCCGUAAGGCGAAGCUCGGAGCUGAAGUCCCGGUGAAUGUCGGCCGUAACUAUAACGGUCCUAAGGUAGCGAAAUUCCUUGUCGGGUAAGUUCCGACCUGCACGAAUCGUGUAACGACCGGACCGCUGUCUCGGAGUGGUUCUCGGCGAAAUUGUAGUGGCGGUGAAGAUGCCGCCUGCCCGCAGUAGGACGGAAAGACCCUAUGCACCUUUACUAUAAGCUGGUAUUGGGUUCUGGUCUUUGAUGCGUAGCAUAGGUGGGAGACGUUGAAUUGGCGGUUUCGGUCGUCAAGGAGUCAUCAGUGAAAUACCACUCUUUAAUGAUUAGGAUUCUAACCCCAACCCUGUUAGCCAGGUGGGGGACAGUGCCUGCGGGUUAGUUUGACUGGGGCGGUUUCCUCCUAAAAAGUAACGGAGGAGCGCGAAGGUACUCUCAGCACGGUUGGCAACCGUGCGUCGAGCGUAUGGGUAUAAGAGUGCUUAACUGUGAGACCUACAAGUCGAGCAGAUGCGAAAGCAGGCCCAAGUGAUCCGAUGGUUGAAUGUGGAAUUGCCAUCGCUCAACGGACAAAAGGUACGCUAGGGAUAACAGGCUGAUCGCGCCCAAGAGUUCAUAUCGACGGCGCGGUUUGGCACCUCGAUGUCGGCUCAUCGCAUCCUGGGGCUGGAGAAGGUCCCAAGGGUCCGGCUGUUCGCCGGUUAAAGCGGUACGCGAGCUGGGUUCAGAACGUCGUGAGACAGUUCGGUCCUUAUCCACUGUGGGCGUAGGAAACUUGAGGGGUUCAUUCUCUAGUACGAGAGGACCGAGAAUGACGCACUUCUGGUGUGGCAGUUGUUCCGUCAGGGGCAGCGCUGCGUAGCCAAGUGCGGAAGAGAUAAGCGCUGAAAGCAUCUAAGUGCCAAGCUCCUCCCAAGAUAAGGUUUCCCGGACGCAAGUCCCUUAAGACCCCCGGAAGACUACCGGGUUGAUAGGUCAGGCGUGUAAGCGUGGCAACAUGUUUAGCGGACUGAUACUAAUCGGUCGUGAGGCUUGAUCGC
rnacentral:rRNA from 1 species